rnacentral:rRNA from 1 species
UACGGGGGGGGCAAGCGUUGUUCGGAAUUACUGGGCGUAAAGGGCUUGUAGGUGGCCAACUAAGUCAGACGUGAAAUCCCUCGGCUUAACCGGGGAACUGCGUCUGAUACUGGAUGGCUUGAGUUUGGGAGAGGGAUGCGGAAUUCCAGGUGUAGCGGUGAAAUGCGUAGAUAUCUGGAGGAACACCGGUGGCGAAAGGCGGCAUCCUGGACCAAGACUGACACUGAAAGCGAAAGCCAGGGGAGCAAACGGG